rnacentral:rRNA from 1 species
GUCUACAUCCAUACCACCCUGAACACGCCCUAUCUUGUCUGAUCACAGAAGCCAAGUGGGGUCAGGCCUGGUUAGUACUUGGAUGGGAGGAAACUGAUGAAACU